GGGGUCGACUGGUUUUGACAGCAAGUCGAAUUGAAAAGUAAGCACGUCGAGAACGGAAACAUAUCUCGUAAAUCCAUGUUUCGCACUUUUAUACGGCGAGAAUAACUACGCUUUAGCUGCUUAAUCCGAAUUAUAGUACGAUUUGCCUAGUUCCUACAAGGUAGGAAAGCUGGAUUCCUCUUGAAAGCCUUGGUUUGUGGCGUUCUGUUUAGGGGAACCGUAAAAAUAAACCUAGAAACGGUAAGGCUUCGGAACCGUUUUGACACUUUAGAAGAUAGGCGUUUGGUAGCGGUUUUCGGCUUAGCCAAACGAUGAAAAUUGAAUCGGAAACUAAACGUGUAGAAAGCUUUUUAGUUGCUUGUUUGGACGGGAGUUCGACUCUCCCCGACUCCACAG
rnacentral:tmRNA from 1 species